CCCUUAGAUGUUCUGGGCUGCACGCGCGCGACAAUGACGUUUGCAACGAGAUUGCGAGGCCGUCAGGUCGAGCUGAUCUUGCAAGCUGCGUCGUGAUAGGGACAGUCGAUUGCAAUUAUUCGACUCGAACGAGGAAUUCCUUGUAAUCGCGCAUCAUCAGUGCGCGCUGAAUACGUCCCUGCCCUUUGUACACACCGCCCGUCGCACCUACCGAUUGAAUGGUUCGGUGAAGAUCUCGGACUUCGAUAUUUGUUCUUCAUUGAACUUAUAUAGUGGGAAGUUAUCUGAACCUCAUCAUUUAGAGGAAGGUGAAGUCGUAACA
rnacentral:rRNA from 1 species